rnacentral:lncRNA from 1 species
UCACAGGCUUAAAUACAAACGGAAAGGCAUGGGAUGAGGUUGGGGGAGGGGCAGUGUGCUGACCGAGGUGCUGAAUCUUCAUUCCCACCAGGGAAUGGUAAUUUCUCCUUAGUCUGGGACAUCUGCAAUUCUAGCCAGUGUCUCUGGGGAAGAAGGAGUGCUGGGAAGCAGAGGAGAAAUGAGAAGGAAAGGGAAUGACAGAGGGAGGGAGGGAAGGAGAAGGAGAGAAAGAGAGAGAAAAGGAGAGACGCAUUUAGGAGGCGUAACCUCUAAAAAAUAGAAAGAGAUGGGGACUUUUAUUUUGAAAUAUGCUCAUUUUCCUUUGUUUUUCUUUUCUAUCUGGUUUAAAUUAUGUGGAUUUUUGUUUACCCUAGAUAGAGUAUAGAACAGUCUUCCAUCUUCUUUCAAAAUGUUGACAGUUCUAUCAUAUUUCUGACUGUUACAAAAUGCUCCCUAUUCACCCUAGGAAUUCAGUGAAGUAGGGGAAGAGUGGCCACUUUGGACCCGAGGACCAGGGGGCUUGCUACUCUGAUGUCGUGUCAAGGGAGGGCCUUUCAGGAAGCUAGAGCCAGAGGCACAAAGCCUCGGCCCUGGUGAGCUCCCCAAAACCAUGGGCUGCAAGAUGAUCAAGUCUGAAUGCUCAAGGCACCUAAGGGCUCCUCCAGCCCAAUCUGGAGGCCCAGAGAGGGUUGGUUUCUAGUUCAAGGUCAUAUAGCACAUGACAGAGCCAAGCCAGGGAACCCAGGUGAGGAAGAGGAAUAAGCAGAGUCAGGAAGUCCUCUCUGGGUGGAGAUAGCCCAGUUGAGCAUGCUAGUCAGGAUCAUAGACUCCAGGAUGGCUGCUAAGAGACCACUGGCCUCAACUCCAUCAUUUCACAGGUAAGAAUACUGAGACCCCGACGGGAAGUCCAUGAGGCAGAGCAGGCCCAGACCCAGGUCUCCAGACUCACAGCCAUCAGUUUCUCAUGCAACCUUUAAUCUCCCCCCUGUGGAUUCUGAUGCCUCCUCCUACCCCAUGGGAACUUGGAGUCAGAGCCAAAGGAGAAGGGGAGUGGCCAGGGUCCCUGCAGCUCCAGGCACUAAGAGCUGGUUACCUUUCUCCAUCCUCCUCCCGGAAGAGAACAGAGAAUUGGCCUGGACCCCAAUGGCCCCUCCUCCAGGGCAGAGUCAGUCGGUGCCUACCCACACCUGGUACCUCCCUUACUGGCAACAGAGUCCAGAGCUAGUAACAGCCACAGCAGGGACAAAGCCACCUGGGCAGCUGCUGGAGCCACUGGGAGUCACAGGAAGGGAAGGCCCUGGAAGGCCUUGA